rnacentral:misc_RNA from 1 species
CCCGAACCAUUACUUCCUUAAUUUACUGAAUUUCUCUUUUGCUUUUACAUUUUGGUUAAUGUUUUUGUGAAUAAUUUAUUCGAUUCAUGGAAAUUGAGGGUUGUGAUUUUAAUUUUAGGAUUUAGGGUUGCUGUUGGCUAUUUUUGCUGUCUGAUAGUUAAAGGCAAUAGACAUCUUUUUACGUUGAUGCCUGUGUUUCCCUCUUCAUUUGGUCUUUCAGCUGCUAUUUUGUUAAAUGUAGGGCUUUGGUGAAGUGUAUUUUGCCCUCUAAUUCACUUGAGCUGCUAUUCACGGAUGUUUGCUUGAUAUCUUGUUUAUUUUAAAUAUUUUUGGUGCAUUUGAGCUUUUAGGAUGCAUAAGACUAGUGCUAAAAAAGGCAACUGUUGUAUUUAUAUAGCAUUCAUGAGCAUAGUGAUGAGUGAUGACCCUUAUGAUGGGUUUUGACAAUGUAAUCAGUUUUUUUGGACAACAUGGGUAUGGGCGCUAAGUCCAUUUAGUUUCUAUCAACAAAUUCAAUAGGUUAUUUAUUUAUAACAUGUUAGGUUUCAAUACAGGCAUAUUCAGAGUUGAUUUAAAUGGUAUGAUGCAACUGUAAAAAUUAAUUCCAUAAAGGUCCGUGUGAAAUAAACCUGGGAGAUAUCAUUAUCACUUAUAAACAAGGUGAUUUAGGAGAAUUAUUGCGUGGAAUUAGUUGCUUGCUAUAAUCGACACACAUUGUUUAACUGAUAAUGCCACAUUCCAUCUAGGAAGCAUUUGGUUGCCAGAAUGUAAAAUUUUCAUUUCGAAUCACUUCCUUGCGAGUUCCCAAGCAAGUUUUUACAGGAAAUUUUCAUCUUCUUAUUUGCGUAGGAAUAAAAGAUUCCUAAUAUUGUCACAAAUAAAAUCACAAUAAAGGAAAUAAUGUCUCAUUAAAUUAUUUUUCAUAACUUUCAUUUCAAUGGAAUGUAACAUUUUUAGCCUAUAGGAUGAGAAAAUAUAUUCCUAUGUACAUGAGAAUGUGAUGGUGGGAUUUGCAUAUCUGUUAAUGUAGUUUUCCUGGGAUCUAUAUUCCCAUUCAAACCAAACAUGGGAAAUUUACUUUCUCAAGCCACUCUUAUAGGCAAUUACUCUUAACUGCAAACUGAGGCUUGUUUUUGGAAGCUCUUUAUUUAAAAUAUUUAUCUUUAUUACAUCUUUCUUUUAUUCAUUUUUAGUGUUGGCUUGGCCAUGUUAGUUAUUUCAAUGAUGAACUUGUUCUUAUAUGGCUGUAAGGUCUGUUUUGUGCUACAAAAUAAAAUGAAUAACCAUAAUAAUGAUUUACUACCACUUUUGCAUUGAAAUGCCUAUAUGCUUCUAGCAUUGGUCUCUAACUGUGCAAUGUUUUUCUAGUGGAAAUCUCUCUCUCAAAAAGGCACUUAUUUUGGUGAUAAGUACACUAAAACAAGCAUCUUCAUAUAGUAUCUUCUGUUGCAUCUCAGCAUGCCGUACGUUCAGCCUAAUUAAUCAUCCCUGCGACGCCCCCUCUUCUAUUUCUUCAUUCUCUAUUAUAUCAAUUCUCAGAACAGAUUUAUGCCUUCACUUUUGCAUAAGUUUUUGAAACAUCCAAAUCUUGACAUAUAGUCAGAAAUUUUAAGUUUUAAGUUUUAUUUUUAUUUUUAAAAUGCCUUAUUGGGAUCAUCCUUGUGGAAGUUCAUCUUCAAAAUGGUAGUAAGAUUAAAUCCAUUUGCAUAUGUUGCUCUUUCUAAAUGAUACUAAAUAGAUGAUGUUCUGUCUAGUGUGUGUCCAAUAGCAUCAAGUUACUGUUGAAUCUGUGACACACUUGUUAGUUUGUUGGUGUCAUGUUUGGACCGAGUCAAGGUUUUUGGUCAUAUUUUAGUUUUAUACAGGUGAACAUCCAUCAGGAGUUGAUGUAGGUGUGAUACUUAUUUGAGUGGCAGGUAUGCACUCAACGCUCUUGGAAACGACCUUAUGGUGUUGGACUGCUGGUGGCUGGCUUGGAUGAAUCUGGAGCUCACCUCUACUACAAUUGCCCUAGUGGGAACUAUUUUGAAUAUCAAGCAUUUGCUAUUGGAUCUCGCUCACAAGCUGCAAAGACAUACUUGGAACGCAGGUUUGAGAACUUUACAGACUCCUCACGGGAAGAUCUGAUUAAGGACGCUCUCAUUGCAGUUAGGGAAACCUUACAAGGAGAAACACUCAAGAGUUCCAUUUGCACAGUUGCUGUAGUAGGAAUUGGGGAGGCAUUCCACAUACUGGAUCAGGAAAC